rnacentral:miRNA from 9 species
AGGGAGUUUGCUCGCCAUGCUUA